GGCUUCUCUCCGCUUCCCCGCCCGGCGGGGCCCCUGAUGGCUGCUGCCCCCGCCUCGCAGGCUGCUGGGUUUGGUCUCGGGUGGCUUUUUUUUGUGUGUGUUUUUCUUUUUGUUAUUAUUUUUCUCCUCCGUCUCGCUCUCGCUCCAGCCAAGGUGAAUGGCCCGCGGUGGGUGUAGCUGGCCUCAGCGGCUCCGCAAGGGGAAAAUGCUGGCGGUGGGGGUGCUGGCCGGCCUCUCGGUGCUCAGCCUCCUCACCUACGGCUACCUGUCCUGGGACAGCCUCGGACGCGGCCCCGGAGAGGCGCCGGCAGCGCUGGGAGAAGAGCCGGGGGUCGGCACCCCCAGCUCGCAGCCGCACAUCAUCUUCAUCCUGGCUGACGAUCAGGGCUUCAGAGAUGUAGGGUACCACGGCUCGGAGAUCAGGACGCCCACUCUGGACAAGCUAGCUGCUGAAGGGGUUAAACUGGAGAACUAUUAUGUUCAGCCUAUGUGCACACCAUCCAGAAGCCAGUUUAUCACUGGAAAGUACCAGAUACACACCGGCCUUCAGCACUCCAUUAUACGGCCAACCCAGCCCAACUGCCUACCUCUGGAUAACGUCACGCUACCUCAGAAGCUGAAGGAGGUUGGUUACUCAACACACAUGGUUGGCAAAUGGCACUUGGGGUUUUAUCGCAGAGAAUGCAUGCCCACACAGAGAGGAUUUGACACUUUCUUUGGCUCACUCUUAGGCAGCGGUGACUACUACACUCACUUCAAAUGUGACAGCCCUGGAAUAUGUGGCUAUGACCUGUAUGAGAAUGAUAAUGCAGCUUGGGAUCACGACAAUGGCAUCUACUCCACACAGAUGUACACGCAAAAAGUACAACAAAUAUUAGCUUCUCACAAUCCCAGGAAACCUAUAUUCUUAUAUAUUGCUUACCAAGCUGUUCAUUCACCUCUUCAGGCACCAGGAAAGUAUUUUGAACAUUAUCGAUCCAUAAAUAACAUAAACAGGCGAAGAUAUGCUGCGAUGCUAGCUUGUUUGGAUGAAGCCAUAAACAACGUAACCCUUGCUCUAAAGAAGUACGGUUACUAUGACAAUAGCAUUAUCAUAUACUCUUCAGAUAACGGUGGGCAGCCAAUGGCUGGAGGAAGUAACUGGCCUCUCCGAGGGAGCAAAGGAACAUACUGGGAAGGAGGUAUCCGUGCUGUUGGGUUUGUCCACAGCCCCCUUCUGAAAAACAAAGGGUCUGUGUGUAAGGAGCUUGUGCACAUCACGGACUGGUUCCCCACUUUGAUCACACUGGCUGAAGGACAGAUUGAUGAAGAUAUCCAGUUAGAUGGCUAUGAUAUAUGGGAAACCAUUAGCGAAGGCAGACGUUCUCCACGGGUAGACAUCUUACACAACAUUGACCCAAUUUACACCAAAGCCAAAAAUGGUUCUUGGGCAGCUGGCUAUGGGAUCUGGAACACUGCAAUUCAAUCUGCCAUCAGAGUGAAUCAUUGGAAACUACUGACAGGAAAUCCAGGAUAUAGUGACUGGGUUCCUCCGCAGGCCUUCAGCAACAUGGGCCCCAAUCGCUGGCAUAAUGAACGUGUUUCUUGGUCAGCUGGCAAAACUGUGUGGCUUUUCAACAUAACUGCUGAUCCAUACGAACGGGUGGACCUCUCUGCAAAGUAUCCUGAUGUAGUGAAACAGCUGUUGAGGAGGCUUUCACAGUUUAAUAAGACUGCGGUUCCUGUUCGGUACCCACCUAAGGAUCCACGGAGUAACCCAAAGCUGAAUGGAGGAGUCUGGGGUCCAUGGUUUAAAGAGGAUGAAAAGAAGAAGAAGUCAGAUAAAAGUAAAGGUGCUAAUAAGCAAAAGAAGAACAAGAACAAGAAAAAAGCAAAUCGGAAAAAAGGACAGUCAUUACAUUGCCGAUCACGUCUUGCUGGUAGAUAGACUUUCAGCAUACUUGUUUUUGCCAAGCCUAAGACAGCUUGGCCCAAAUUCCUUGAAUUCUGACAAUAUACCAGAAAUGCCUGCUCUGCACUAUGGAGGAAAGCUGUCAUCUUUUAAUUUGUUCUCAAAUUUCACUAGGAUGAGAUAUUUUGACGCUGCAUCAAACAUACAUAAACAUCCAUGUGACAGACUUUCUCCUCUACAGGAAGAAUGGUGCUCUUCCAUCACAGCUACAUUCCAGAUAGGAACACAACUACUCCUAACUUCAGAAGGCCCAUUUUUGGUGAACAAAUGAUUGUUCCUUGCCUGAAUUAGUUAGAAUUUUUUGAGAGUCUGGAAUGGCAGAUGAUUCAUAGAGAGAAAGGAAAAGCAAAGCUUGAAAACUUCUGUAGGUCUGAGAGUAUUAGCCACCAACCUGUGACAUUUUUUGAUAAAACACAGCAAAAAUUGAAGCCAACAGUAUCUUUUUUGGGGGUGCUGGGGAGAGAAAUAAGAUAGUAGGAAAGCUGCUUUGAAUUAGACAGUGUCUUUCUUAGGUAAACCAGAAAUACUUUUUAAAUUCCCUUAAUGUGCUUACCUUUCCUCAUUUGUAGUAAAACCAGAAGGUUGUUAUCAGCACACCUGAAUAACUAGCACAUGUCAUAUAUAAUUUAUUAUAGGCAUAGGCAAAAGCACAUCACCAAAGUGAAUGUAAUAUUUAAACACUUUAAGAUAUCUAUUCUACAGAACAUGCAAGACGUAAUUUAUUUUACAGCACAAUACUUUCUUCUUUUCCAUUCAAACUUUAAUUAGUGGGUGAUGCAAGGGUUGUUUAUUUGUUUUGCUUUUGAUUUUUAACUUUAUUUUCACUCAGUCAUUCAGAGUUUUGUUCAACAGAUCCAAAUCCUCAGAGUACUGUAAAACAAGGAAAUGCUGUAGACACUGCUAGGAUGAGAGAGGAGAAUGAUUCAGGCAAAAUGAGAGUCUUUGAAUGCAAACAGUGCAAAGCAGAACAGUGGAUCAGUUCUUGCAUGAAAUAUAUGUGCCAAAAUCUGACAUUGAGAAGGUGGAAGCAGCAAUGCAACCAGAGUCCUGUUUCUUCAUUUUGAAGUAGAGAGGCAAUCUUGCAUCAUGGAUGAAUUUAUUCCUUUAUAGAUGGGUGGUAGUGGGUUUUCCACUCUGUGUACUAACAACUUUCUCCAAGAUUGAUGUCACCUGCACCUAAUUGCAAUGAAAGUACAUCCAGCUACAAGCAGCUCUCUGUAUAACCUGCUGAUCAGUGUUUUUCCUGUGGUACAACAGACUAAGCUCUCUUGUUGAUCUUACUGUGAUUAAACACUGGAUUCGUAAGACCAAUGCAUGACACUGUGAGUUUGUAGUACUUUGAAGUCGCCUGCAAUUUCCAUUACCUGUUUAACACAGACUAUUUAAUGCAUGGGGAACACAACAGAACAGAGAAUGCCAUCCCUGUGUUUUGUAUGAAUAAGCUUGUGAGCUUUUAUGGAAUGUGUCAACAGAAUGCAGUUAAUUCAUAAUGGUGGUGACAUUGAGGUUGUCAUAGUCCACUUUACCAGAUGCAUGUAUUUCUUUUGAAUUUAGAUCACAAGAUAACAUGACAAUUAGGCCUCUUACCACACCAGAAACAAAAUGCACAUGUUCUUCAGAUUCAAUCACAACCAAACCAAAAGUAACAUCUCUCUGGAAACUCUGGAGGCAGUUACAUUUUUCCUUCUUGAGUCCCGCCGACAUCCAGCCAGCGAGCCUCAAGGCUGGUGCUGAAAUUUCCAGAAACGUUUGGAAAGCAACCACAGAAAUAAAUUCAACAAACCAAACCCCUGAAGAGCAGUAACAGACGCUACAGAAGCGCACUGGAGCCAGCACCCACUCGUCAUCACGGCUUGUCUCCGCUCCCACAGCUUCCACCACACGUGCCACCUCCAGCACAACACCUCCAAAACUGCUGGGCUUUCUGCUCACACUUUGGAGUCCUGAGGCCUCCUGCAGCUCUGCUAGGUUAAGUUGCAAUGAACCUAAAGCAGUGAGUGUGUCACUGGGAUGAUUGAUCUUCUUGUAUUUGUCAUAACUAUCUUCCCUGAAGUGGUUUCAUUGCUUGAAUGAGUGACCUGAGCACUGUCACCCAUAGCCUUAUGUAGAAAGUCUAUAGCCUUAUUCAGACAAGAUUUCAUCGGGCAUUUUUUAAAACUGGGGCUUCUGGGGUCUGAUUGGAUUAAUUUUGUUGUUUCUUUUCCUUUACCUUUUCUUGGAGGUGCUUUGUCAACUGGAUGCAUCUCCCCAGCGUCAUAGUCACAACUCACUUCCACUUAGAGAUCUCUUUCCCACUCUUUCUUGAAGAAAACUGGGGAGAAAUUUAAUAAUUUAAUAAGGCCUAGAUCCAUGGCUACUUCAGAUAAAUUUGUAACAGAUAUUUCUAUAUUUUUUUGUUAAUUUUUUUUCUAUAUUUUUUUGUUAAUGCUGGAAACUUUGAGCAAAGAAACUCUCAAAGUUAUUAUGCAUAAACUAUGUUAGUCAUCUGAUUGGGAUGAAAAUUCAGGCCACUUUAGUAGCAUCUUGGAAUCAUUCAGAUUUAAUUAUGGACAUUAAGAUCAAUGUUUUUGUUUGUUUGUUUGUUUAUGUAUUUUUUUUGUGUGUGUGUGUGUGUGUGUGCUUAUCUGUUCCUCACUGUACCCUCUAAUCACAACAUAAUAGUGUACAUAUGCAUGUGCACAGUCUGAUCUGUAGUUAUUGACAGUAUUUGAGAUAUCAGCUCCUGGAUCUUGUAUGUAGCAAAUGAGUGUAGAUAAUUUACAGUCCAGCGAGGUCUUGAAUAACUCACUCCAAGUGCUUGUGAGAAGAGAAGUCAGUCUAGAUAAAUGAUUUCUGUCUUCCUGCUACAGAAUACUUUUGAGGUUCAUCAGUAACCUUAUUAACAUGGCUGGUUAAAAAUAUUGACAGCCUAACACAUCAAAGCUUUAUCUCAACAGUGCUCACCAGGAGAUCCACUGAAAACAGGGAAAGAAAACCCCUUUUACCUUUAGUAGGUACUGGGAUAUGUCCUUAUUCAACUCAAAGGGAAAUGGUGAUUUGCCUGCAGAGAAAGGUAACUGAUAGCAAAACCAGUAAUAAACCAGCUGCUAAAUGACUGUUUUGAGAAGUGUCCCUUCCUCUUUUUCAAAAACACAUUGCAGCUGUGCAGUAAUGUUCCUAAGUAUUACAGCUUGUAAUAGCUUUACUGAAACAUUGAAACAGUCUGAACCCUUUCUACAAAUCACUGGUGUUUUCGAGCUGGGUGUGAAGAUUUACCAUGGUACUGCUUCUGGCAGUGGUAUUUGCUGACUUUGUCACUGGAUCUGAAUUCCUGGUUUGGCACCCCACUGAUAAGGUCUCAGUCAUUAAGUGCAUUGUACAGCAACCUUCUGCGUUCCUGUCUCUGUUUUGCUCUUCUGUGUUUCACUCUUCCUUUCUGACUUCCAGUCCUUACUCAAUUGAGUAAUUCAACCACAGCCUGCAGCAUCUCCUUAUCCUUUUUUAUUUGCUAGUAGUUAAUAAAUAAACACGCAGCUCAAAAUUAAAGUGAAUUAAAGAGAAACAAACUUCUUCAUAAGUAUUAUUUUGUUAUUCUCAGUUAAAAAUGCCCUCAAAUGAAGAUAAAAAACAAACCAUUCAAAGUUCUUAAAUGAAACUUGUAUCUCAUUAGAGUUUUGGUUUUUUUCCUUUCCAAUGCAAACAAAUUUAAAAUUUCAUUUUUGCUAGGCCUGUAGUUUUGUUCUUGCCACCAAAAAAAUAUAUAUAUUUUUUGUCCUAGUUGUCCUGUGGUGCUUCUGGAGGUGGGAGGCAAAUGGCCUGCAGUGUCUCCUGGACUGUCAGGAGUAAUGCUUUUUUAGGCCAGAAAGAAGACUUGGUCCCCCGCAUAACAAGAGCAUGACAGAAUCACUGAGCUAUCAAAUCAGUUAUUCUGCCAACAUCUUUCUGCUUCACUGAAGAGUAAAUUAAUCCUACAUAGGAGCGCUGCAGCAGGAGAGUAAGAGAGAGCACACACAUUGCUGUAGUUGAGUAGGAAGGUGCUUGUCGAGAGUGUAAAUAAUGGAUAAAUAAUUAAUUUUCUUUGGGGAACCUUCAAGGAUCUACUUCACUGAGUGCUUAUGCACACAUGGUAGAACAAGUACAGCAAGGGAUUGAGCAAUAAAGCUUCCCCGUGGGAAGAAAACAUGCCCUAAGUCAGACCUCUCAGUGUCUCCAUCUUGGCUCUUUCCAACUUGGUGGAGACCUGGGGUGGCUGCAGCUGGCCCCAGUUUCUAGAGAUGGCAGCUGGGGGUCUUGACCAGAAGGUGCUUGAGAGGGAGAUGUUCCUGCAGAAGGCACAAAGACACAGAUUGGACGACAAUCAGUGCUUGGAAAUGAAAGCAUGUGGGCUACAUUGAGUGAUUCUGCCAUACUGACCAGGUGAUGCUACCAGAGUUACUACCCGCCAAAAUCUUUAUUUAGAAAAGCAACAGUUCCAACGAGGAAACAAAAGAAGUCCAAAAAAUGGCACAACAGAUAACUUAGUGCUGAUCUGACAUCUGUUGCCUCCAGCUCACUUUGGUCUGCUGGGUUGAGGCCGCUCACGGCAGGAAGAGCAGCUGAGUGUCCCUGUUGCUGCAUGCCUCCUGUUCCAAAUUAAUAUUUCUGCGGCAAUAUGUAAAAGCAUUGAGGUCUAUCAAUUACAAAACAAUUUCCUGUGCCAGCUCCUAUUAAAGAGCCAUUACAGAAAGCUUAGCCUUGACUUUGAGCUGAAGCCCCCAAGUGGAUCUUUCUGGGAAGAAACUGUUAUUUCUUCCCAUGGGGAACUUUCCCCUUCUGCCACCUCAGAGCGCAUCUUCCCAGCACUGUCUGCCGUUACUCAUGGAGAAAGCGUGGAUCAUUUCAUAUCCAAAGGUAAAAAAGCAGAAGUGCACCCCUUUCAGACUCAGCAGUCACAGUACUUUAACAGCCAGCUAAUGCAGUGCCAAACCAUUACAGUGAACUGCAAACCCAAAUAUCUUAUCUUGUGUGAUUUCUUACUGUUGAUCCUCUUGUCUGUUCUUAUACCUCUUUGUUCCCGUAUAUUUGUGUGAUAUUCUGAUUAACCUCUCUCCAUUUUUCCCACUGUCUCCAUAUAUUCAUAUUUCUAUCCACUUUCACAUUGAUCAUUUUUGUUCCUGACACCAAUAACUGUUUGACCUUCUUUCAAUUUCUCUUUACUUACUCCUUUUUCUUAAAAUAACAUUUUCUGUCUCUGUUCCUGUCCUCUUCCUUUGUUCCGUUUGUGAUUCUCUAUUCCUAUUACAAAACUCAUUUACUGUCCUUUUUCUCAUUUCUCACUACACAAGUAAUGUAACUCCAUCAGCUACAGCCCUGUUGCACUGAUUUCCCCUUUCUAUCUGCUGUCUAGCAUCUUUCCCUUCCUCUCUCCCACGCAGCACUUUUCCUUUCUAUUUUGUUUCUAGUUCAGAAUCUCUCCUCUGACUUUCCCACCGUACUUUUACCCAUUGCCCUCUCCCUGCUGAUCGUGUUAGCAGAAACGUUGAAAUUUGUUGUCUUAUUGCACAGAUCUCAGCUUCCUUCAUCCCCUCCUUGUUUGUUAUGUCAAGCCCACCACCACUCUCCUGGUGCAACCAGAGCUGGGUGUCAGGUGUUGUCCAUGCAAGCCUCUCUAGAGCAGCACAAGACAGAGGGACUUUUAUCAUGCUGCUAAGGAGACCAUUGCUCGCCAGUGAGUUCUGCCAACCUGGGUUCACAUUUUGUAUCAACAAGAUUUGUAUGCUUUAUUGAUCAAGUUACAGUUCAUUGGCUUUAUUGUCAUAUGCACCUGUAACCGCAUCAGUGUUCACUGUCACUCACUUUGGGGCAGUAAAGCUUUGCCACAGGAAUACUUGAGAAGGACCAUGGGCUGCCAUUCAAGACCAUCUGGUACUAAACAGUAUUUCUCUAAACCCAUGGUUACCUAGGUAUCAAUCAAGGCCGUUUUCUAUCUAGACCUCUGCUGUAAGUGGCCAUUCAAUUUGUCCACAAGCUAAAUAUACAGUACUCCUAGCAGAGCUCAUAAUGAGUGCACAUGAAUGACCUUUCAAAAGCUCUCUAACUCCUUCAAAACACAAGCAGAGAGAAAGUCUGUAUUUGCGAGAUCAGAAAUAAAAUGAAAACCUCACUUUGGUGAAUAAAAAAGCCAUAUACAGGAAAGCCCUUGAUGAAUAGCAUACUUUUAACAAAAAUACCAUUUCCUUUGCCACAAUAAAUGUUGUUUCAGAUUCUGAAAUUAAGUGCUUGUUCCACUGGGCUGUAACAUUUUGUUAAGCUGCAGAGACGUUAGAGGAACAGCUAUUCCAUUUCUUACAGACUUCAGCUAUUUUCAAUUCUCUUUUAAUAUUUCUUUUUCUCUGGAGGAGAGAAACAUGUCCUAGGAUUUUCUCUAAGCCUUUUUUGGUUCAUUAUGGAGAUCUGACUUUCUGCGUCCACUAAAGCAACCACAGAUGAACUACUUUUGCAGCCUUAGGGAAACCUGAACCUGGAGCCAGCUUUUAGAAUUCACUGACAGGCCCAGGUCCUUGGCUGCCGUGGCAGAGGCUCUGCUCCUCUCAGAAAGUUUGGUGAAUUUAUGGAGGACUUAAGUAGCAGCUACAAAUCAUGGUUCUGUUUCAGCUCAAGAGUGAACUGCAUUUAAGGGAGCAUUGUUGUAACAAGAAGAAAACUUCCCAGCUCAAGUGUUUCCAAGCUAUUAAUCACUCCCAAGUAUCUGUCCCCCUGGAAAUUCUCCAAGUCCUUAUGAUACUGCUCUUGUAAACAAUUAUUUUCUUUCCUGAA